UACGUAGGGUGCAAGCGUUGUCCGGAAUUACUGGGCGUAAAGCGUGCGUAGACGGUUAUUUAAGUCGGAUGUGAAAGCCCCGGGCUCAACCUGGGAAUUGCAUUCGAGACUGAAUAGCUAGGGUACGGUAGAGGGAAGCGGAAUUUCCGGUGUAGCGGUGAAAUGCGUAGAUAUCGGAAGGAACAUCAGUGGCGAAAGCGGCUUCCUGGACCAGUACCGACGUUCAGGCACGAAAGCGUGGGGAGCAAACAGG
rnacentral:rRNA from 1 species